AUUGUGCCAGCCGCCGCGGUAAUACGGAGGGUGCGAGCGUUAAUCGGAAUUACUGGGCGUAAAGCGCGCGUAGGCGGUUAUGUCAGUCGGAUGUGAAAGCCCCGGGCUCAACCUGGGAAUUGCAUUCGAUACUGCAUGGCUAGAGUUUGGUAGAGGCUAGCGGAAUUCCAGGUGUAGCGGUGAAAUGCGUAGAUAUGUGGAGGAACACCAAUGGCGAAGGCAGCCCCCUGGGAUGACACUGACGCUCAUGUACGAAAGCGUGGGUAGCAAACAGGAUUAGAUACCCUGGUAGUCCACGCCCUAAACGAUGUCAACUGGUUGUUGGGGGAGUGAAAUCCCUUAGUAACGAAGCUAACGCGUGAAGUUGACCGCCUGGGGAGUACGGUCGCAAGAUUAAAACUCAAAGGAAUUGACGGGGACCCGCACAAGCGGUGGAUGAUGUGGAUUAAUUCGAUGCAACGCGAAAAACCUUACCUACCCUUGACAUGUCCAGAAUCCUGCAGAGACGCGGGAAUGCCCGAAAGGGAAUUGGAACACAGGUGCUGCAUGGCUGUCGUCAGCUCGUGUCGUGAGAUGUUGGGUUAAGUCCCGCAACGAGCGCAACCCUUAUCAUUAGUUGCUACGCAAGGGCACUCUAAUGAGACUGCCGGUGACAAACCGGAGGAAGGUGGGGAUGACGUCAAGUCCUCAUGGCCCUUAUGGGUAGGGCUUCACACGUCAUACAAUGGUCGGUACAGAGGGUUGCCAAGCCGCGAGGUGGAGCCAAUCCCAGAAAGCCGAUCGUAGUCCGGAUUGUUCUCUGCAACUCGAGAGCAUGAAGUCGGAAUCGCUAGUAAUCGCGGAUCAGCAUGUCGU
rnacentral:rRNA from 1 species